CCUGGCUCAGAGCGAACGCUGGCGGCAUGCUUACACAUGCAGUCGCACGGACCUUUCGGGGUGAGUGGCGGACGGGUGAGUAUCGCGUAGGGAUCUUAUCCACGGGUGGGGGAUAACAUCGGGAAACUGGUGCUAAUACCGCAUGAUACCUGAGGGUCAAAGGCGCAAGUCGCCUGUGGAGGAGCCUGCGUUCGAUUAGCUUGUUGGUGGGGUAAAGGCCUACCAAGGCGAUGAUCGAUAGCUGGUCUGAGAGGAUGAUCAGCCACACUGGGACUGAGACACGGCCCAGACUCCUACGGGAGGCAGCAGWGGGGAAUAUUGGACAAUGGGCUAAAGCCUGAUCCAGCAUGCCGCGUGUGUGAAGAAGGUCUUCGGAUUGUAAAGCACUUUCGACGGKGACGAUGAUGACGGUACCCGUAGAAGAAGCCCCGGCUAACUUCGUGCCAGCAGCCGCGGUAAUACGAAGGGGGCUAGCGUUGCUCGGAAUGACUGGGCGUAAAGGGCGCGUAGGCGGCUUACACAGUCCUA
rnacentral:rRNA from 1 species